rnacentral:rRNA from 1 species
UACGUAGGGUCCGAGCGUUGUCCGGAAUUAUUGGGCGUAAAGGGCUCGUAGGCGGUUCGUCACGUCGGGAGUGAAAACUCGGAGCUUAACUCCGAGCCUGCUUCCGAUACGGGCAGACUAGAGGUAGGCAGGGGAGAGCGGAACUCCUGGUGUAGCGGUGGAAUGCGCAGAUAUCUGGAGGAAUACCGGUGGCGAAGGCGGCAUCCUGGACCGGCAUUGACGCUGAUGAGCGAAAGCUAGGGGAGCAAACGGG